rnacentral:rRNA from 1 species
GAUGAACGCUGGCGGCGUGCUUAACACAUGCAAGUCGAACGUGAAGAAGCAGCAAUGUUUCUGAAAGUGGCGGACGGGUGAGUAACACGUGGGUGACCUGCCUUGCAGAGGGGGAUAACGAGGGGAAACCUUCGCUAAUACCGCAUAGGCUUACACCGAUGGGAAUGGUGUGGGUAAAACUGAGGUGCUGCAAGAGGGGCCUGCGUCCGAUUAGCUAGUUGGUGAGGUAAUGGCUCACCAAGGCGAUGAUCGGUAGCUGGUCUGAGAGGACGAUCAGCCACACGGGAACUGAGAAACGGUCCCGACUCCUACGGGGGGCAGCAGUGAGGAAUAUUGGGCAAUGGGCGAAAGCCUGACCCAGCAACGCCGCGUGGAGGAUGAAGGCUUUAGGGUUGUAAACUCCUUUUGUGGGGAAAGAAUGGAUGGUACCCCAAGAAUAAGUCACGGCUAACUACGUGCCAGCAGCCGCGGUAAGGCGUAUGUGU